CCGGUGCCGGCUGCAAGGCAGAAGUGUGGAGUAGUGAAUUAUUUUUACGUGCAACCCAAGCAGAGAAAGUUGGCUCAACCGGCUCCUCCUCCUCGCAGCUGUCUAUCAAACCCUCCCAGGUUCGACUGUGAACAAGGAGAGAAAAUGAGAAGGUUCCCUAAACGAGAAUAGACGUCCACUGAUGAGCUGGUCAUUAGCCUUGCCUCCUCUCCCCAUGAAACCAUCAACCAGCAAUUUGUCACAUGCUAUGUGAAGUUGCCACAGCGCUGGUGGACCAUUCCUCUCUCGUGUGGAUUUGACCAACAAGUUCAAGGAGAAGCACGGGAAUUCCUAGAAGCCUGGUACUUCACAAAGAAAGCCAUCAACAAACACGUAGAGCUCUACCCUAUAUACACUCCACUGCGAUGGGAAACUGGAAGUGAGGUAAACCAGCUCGACGGACUCCAGAGUUUAAAUAACAGGCGGGAAAAUACAAUGGCACUUCAUCGGAGGCUGCACUGAUGAUGUUACCCAUUAGGGUAAUGAAAAUUCUGCGGAACAACGCACCAGCUCAGCGAGCGAAUCAACCACAAGUUCAAGGACAGCUUCUUCCUCACUAUAACUAGUCUCCUAACUGGGCCUCUCAAAUUUCAAAUCUAAUGUUUAUCUUGCUUUUUGUAUAACUUCUUUGCAGCCAUAAUCGUGUACUUGUUCUGUUCAAUCCACACUAUGAUCUUUGUGUCUAUGUAUAUUAUGAUCUUCCUCUACUACAUGCAAAACAAAAAAUAUUAGGUACAUGUGACAACAAUAAAUAAAAUCAAAUCCAACCCUUU